rnacentral:rRNA from 1 species
GACGAACGCUGGCGGCGUGCUUAACACAUGCAAGUCGAACGGAAAGGCCCUGCUUUUGUGGGGUGCUCGAGUGGCGAACGGGUGAGUAACACGUGAGUAACCUGCCCUUGACUUUGGGAUAACUUCAGGAAACUGGGGCUAAUACCGGAUAGGAGCUCCUGCUGCAUGGUGGGGGUUGGAAAGUUUUGGCGGUUGGGGAUGGACUCGCGGCUUAUCAGCUUGUUGGUGGGGUAGUGGCUUACCAAGGCUUUGACGGGUAGCCGGCCUGAGAGGGUGACCGGCCACAUUGGGCCUGAGAUACGGCCCAGACUCCUACGGGAGGCAGCAGUGGGGAAUAUUGCACAAUGGGCGGAAGCCUGAUGCAGCAACGCCGCGUGCGGGAUGACGGCCUUCGGGUUGUAAACCGCUUUCGCCUGUGACGAAGCGUGAGUGACGGUAAUGGGUAAAGAAGCACCGGCUAACUACGUG